CUCACCAUUCUCUUUUCUCAGCCUUGAAAUGAACUUCUUUGGUGGGAUGACGCCAACCUUCUUCUUCUGUGUGGCAAUGCUGUGGAAAAGGUCCGCCAGGCACGUCAGCAAGUUUUCCUUCUUCUUUUGCUGGGCCUUGUAUGCCAACACAUUCUCCCGGAAUGGACGGCAGAAGUACAAUGCCUGAAGCACGGAGUUACAGUAGCAUGUGUUUCCAAACUGCCAAGGGACAAGAGGG
rnacentral:lncRNA from 1 species